AGCAGCCGCGGUAAUUCCAGCUCCAAUAGCGUAUAUUAAAGUUGUUGCCGUUAAAAAGCUCGUAGUUGAAUUUCGGGGUUAGUAGAUUGGUCAUGCCUCUGGUAUGUACUGGUCUCACUGAUUCCUCCUUCCUGAUGAUCCGUAAUGCCAUUAAUUUGGUGUUGCGGGGAAUUUGGACUGUUACUUUGAAAAAAUUAGAGUGUUUAAAGCAAGCUAACGCUUGAAUACAUUAGCAUGGAAUAAUGAAAUAGGACGUUCGAUCCUAUUUUGUUGGUUUCUGGGAUUGACGUAAUGAUUAAUAGGGAUAGUUGGGGGCAUUAGUAUUCAAUUGUCAGAGGUGAAAUUCUUGGAUUUAUUGAAGACUAACUACUGCGAAGGCAUUUGCCAAGGAUGUUUUCAUUAAUCAAGAACGAAAGUUAGGGGAUCGAAGACGAUCAGAUACCGUCGUAGUCUUAACCAUAAACUAUGCCGACUAGGGAUCGGAUGAUGUUAAUUUUUUAAUGACUCA
rnacentral:rRNA from 1 species